AACCAGAUUGAUUCUGUCUGACGUGGAUGCUAGUCUCAUAGGUUAAGCCAUGCAUGUGCAAGCGAAGCGUAAGUGGAGCGGCGCAAGGCUCAGUAACGGGCGAGUAUUUGAUCUCCUAGAGUGGAUAUCCUCUGUAACCGGAGGGCAAAACACAAGAUGAGCGAUUGACGAGCUCGUUCGUUUAACGAAUAGUGUAGGGGAGAGUAAGAAGCCAUCCCAUCAGUUAGUAAGUAGGGUAAGGGCCUACUUAGACGAAGACGGGUACGGGGAAUUAUCGUUUGAUUCCGGAGAGGGAGCCUGAGAGACGGCUACCAGGUCCAAGGACAGCAGCAGGCGCGAAAAUUACCGCAGCCUGCGUUCAGGGCGGUAGUAAGGAGACGUGAAAACAAUGUGCGGGCAAAAAACGCACUAGAUACAGGAGGACAAGACUGGUGCCAGCACCCGCGGUAAUACCAGCUCCUGGAGUGUCUAUGAUGAUUGCUGCAGUUAAAGAGUUCGUAGUCGAAGUGGUUAUAACGGCGUAACAGGCCUUCUCUCAAGGAGGGUUAUGCGCCGUGAUUCCAUGGAAUAAGGAGCGUUUAGGGGCCAGGUUAUUAAGCGACGAGGGGUGAAAUCUGGUGACUCGCUUAGGAGCAACAGAGGCGAAAGCGCUGGCCAGGAGCGAAUCCGAUGAUAAAGGACGUAGGCUAGAGGAUCGAAGACGAUUAGAGAGACCGUUGUAGUUCUAGCAGUAAACGAUGCCGAUACCGUGGUGCGGAUAGGCGACGCGGAAGAAAAAUCGAGUAGGGCCCUGGGGAGAGUACACGCGCAAGCGAGAAAUUUAAAGGAAAUUGACGGAAGAACACCACAAGGAGUGGAGUGUGCGGCUUAAUUUGACUCAACGCGGGACAGCUUACCAGGCCCGACGGCCGGACGAGUGUUGUACACGAUAGGUCGAAGAGUGGUGCAUGGCCGUUACGACGAGUGAGGUGACUUUUGGGUUAAAUCCGGGAAGUAGUGAGACCCCUACCGAAAGGGACAGGUGCCGAAAGCACAGGAAGGAAGGGUCAAGAACAGGUCAGUGAUGCCCUCAGAUGGUCUGGGCUGCACGCGCACUACAGUGGUCAUAGAAAUGAAACGAUAGAAUUAAAGAUGAUCGAGAGGGAAUGAGCUUUGUAAGAGGCUCAGGAACGAGGAAUUGCUAGUAAUCGCGGACUCAUUAAGACGCGAUGAAUACGUCCCUGUUCUUUGUACACACCGCCCGUCGUUAUCGAAGAUGGAGUCAGGCGCGAACAAGCGAGAGCGAGUGAGUGCAGGAUUCUAGAUGUGAUACAAGUCGUAACAAGGUAGCUGUAGGAGAACCUGUAGCUGGAUCAGAA
rnacentral:rRNA from 12 species